UAAUAAGCGGAGGAAAAGAAACUAACAAGGAUUCCCCCAGUAACGGCGAGUGAAGCGGGAAGAGCUCAAAUUUGAAAUCUCCGACGCUUGCGUCGGCGAGUUGUAGUUGCGAGAAGCACUUUCUAGGUGGAUCGGCCGCGCCUAAGUUGCUUGGAACAGCAGGUCGCAGAGGGUGACAACCCCGUUUGUGGCGCGACCGGCCGCUGACGAUGUGCUUUCGAAGAGUCGGGUUGUUUGGGAAUGCAGCCCAAAAUGGGUGGUAAACUCCAUCUAAAGCUAAAUAUCGGCGCGAGACCGAUAGCGA
rnacentral:rRNA from 2 species